UACGUAGGGGCCUAGCGUUGUCCGGAUUUAUUGGGCGUAAAGAGCGUGUAGGCGGCUUUGCAAGUCCGUUGUGAAAACUCGAGCUCAACCUCGAGACGCCGGUGGAAACUGCAAAGCUAGAGUCCGGAAGAGGAGAGUGGAAUUCCUGGUGUAGCGGUGAAAUGCGCAGAUAUCAGGAAGAACACCCGUGGCUAAGGCGGCUCUCUAGUACGGUACUGACGCUGAGACGCGAAAGCGUGGGGAGCGAACAGG
rnacentral:rRNA from 1 species